UAUACAUUCAAGUUUCCGGCUACGGUUGUUGAAUUAUCAUCCAAAUCCGCCUCUUAGUUUCAACCACUAGAAAAUUCUUCAAAUGGUUCACCAACGCUAGCCCGGCUAGGAGAAUCUUCGGAAAGGCGGUCCAUAUCCGACGCCGGAAGCGCCACCGUCAUCGUGGGCGGAAGUAAGGUCACCCGGCUGACAGCAAGUGGUACGGGCGCUGCAAUGAUGAGGGAUGCGAGGAAAACCCCGGCCCAGACGCAGGCGAACAAGUCUGCCCUAGCCUCGAAGUGCACGGAACAGGGUUGGACUGUGAUCAGCAUUCUCUUGAGAAUCUAGUGGUACGCGUAGCUGUUAUCGGAUUUUUCCAGAUGAUUCGUCUGGGUGUUUUAAAUUAGGGCCCUGAUUCGGGGAUUUCGGUGAUUUUCAUGGAUUUUGAGGGGAAGUUUGCUGAGAUGAAGAAGGUUGUUACGACGGAAAAUGCAGGUACAGGUGAAUGCCUCUGAUCGCAAAUUCGAGGAUGUGAUUACUUCGGUGAGGAAGGAGGUUUGAUGAGAAAGUGGAAAAGAAGGGGGACGAAAUGGAUUUGGAGUUGAAUGCAACGAGUGAUGCGUUUGAGAAAUUUAUGGAUGAGUUUAGAACUAAGAGUUCUCUGUCAAAGGAAGACUAUUGUGAAAUUUUCAAAAUAUUCGAGAAGGCCAGGAGAAACGCUAGUAGUGAUGGUGGAGAAGGAAAUUGGGAGGCAUGCGGCUGAUGGGAUGGGUAUGGUGGAUUAUGCAGUGGCAUCAAGUGGGGGUCGGAGCAUAAUGAUACUGGGAAUGUCUUUUUUGCCGUCGGAUUAUGGUCCGGAGAUAGGGUUAGUUCGAAUCAGAGAAGUUGACUAGGCCAAGCUUUGGGGAGCUUCUGCAGUGUUUUCCUCUUGAGGGGAGAAGUGGCUUUCUUUAGAUAGGGCUCACAACUGCCGUUGUACCAAAAGCCGUGACUCUGGAACAUGUAGCUAAGGACUAGAAGCAUCUGAAGAGCCAGCAAGAGAUGAGAAUAGUUAUGUUUGUUUUUUGAUUGAAUUUAUGUACAAACUUCCUUUGAGUGCCCCUACUAGGACUUAAGUUGGAAUUUCAACUCCUCCA